GGGAAAGAUUUUCCACACUUACAGUAAGCCUGAUAAGAGACUGUCUGAGACUGUCAGUGCUGAGGAAAAGUGUCCAUCUUUUUAUCAUAAUCAUAUCCCGAAUAUCCAUUCCUAUGCCAAGUCAGAAACACAAAUGGUGACAACUCCCAAAAAAAAUAUUCCUAAAAGGCCAAGGGGAACCCCAACAGGA